GAUUCACUUUGUUUCUCUUUUUCAGCAGACCGCAAUUUUUGCAAAUUCCCGCAAUUUUUGCAAAUUCCCGCAAUUUUUGCAAAUUCCCGCAAUUUUUGCAGGUUCCCGCAAUUUUUGCAAGUUCCCGCAAUUUUUGACUGGUCCCGCAAUUUUUGACUGGUCCCGCAAUUUUUGACUGGUCCCGCAAUUUUUGACUGGUCCCGCAAUUUUUGUAGGUUCCCGCAAUUUUGUCAAGUUCCCACAAUUUUUGCAGGUUCCCGCAAUUUUUGCAACUUCCCACGCAAUUUUUGCAAGUUCCCACAAUUUUUGCAAGUUCCCACAAUUUUUGCAGGUUCCCGCAAUUUUUGCAAGUUCCCACAAUUUUUGCAAGUUCCCGCAAUUUUUGCAACUUCCCGCAAUUUUUGCAACUUCCCACAAUUUUUGCAACUUCCCACAAUUUUUGCAGGUUCCCACAAUUUUUGCAAGUUCCCUCAUAUUCCAUUGCACUUUUUAAGAAAACGUGCCGCAUAAUCAAGACUUUUUGGCCCGCAACAAUCA